UGGUAAUGCCGGAUGCUCCGACUCCUCGCAUGGGGUGUCGGGAAAGAUUUCAUCGGUAUGGGAUGGGGUCGCGUCCUAUCAGGUAGUCGGCGGGGUAACGGCCCACCGAGCCUACGACGGGUAGCCGGCCUGAGAGGGCGACCGGCCACAUUGGGACUGAGAUACGGCCCAGACUCCUACGGGAGGCAGCAGUGGGGAAUAUUGCACAAUGGGCGCAAGCCUGAUGCAGCGACGCCGCGUGCGGGAUGACGGCCUUCGGGUUGUAAACCGCUUUUGAUCGGGAGCAAGCCUUCGGGUGAGUGUACCUUUCGAAUAAGCACCGGCUAACUACGUGCCAGCAGCCGCGGUAAUACGUAGGGUGCAAGCGUUAUCCGGAAUUAUUGGGCGUAAAGGGCUCGUAGGCGGUUCGUCGCGUCCGGUGUGAAAGUCCAUCGCUUAACGGUGGAUCUGCGCCGGGUACGGGCGGGCUGGAGUGCGGUAGGGGAGACUGGAAUUCCCGGUGUAACGGUGGAAUGUGUAGAUAUCGGGAAAGAACACCA
rnacentral:rRNA from 1 species